rnacentral:rRNA from 1 species
UACGAAGGGUGCUAGCGUUGUUCGGAAUCACUGGGCGUAAAGCGUGCGCAGGCGGCUAUUCAAGUCAGGGGUGAAAUGCCUGGGCUCAACCCAGGAACUGCCUUUGAAACUGUAUAGCUAGAGUCUCGGAGGGGUUAGGGGAAUUCCUAAUGUAGCGGUGAAAUGCGUAGAUAUUAGGAGGAACACCAGUGGCGAAGGCGCCUAACUGGACGAGUACUGACGCUCAUGCACGAAAGCGUGGGGAUCAAACAGG